rnacentral:hammerhead_ribozyme from 1 species
GCACUGCUGAGGAGUCCCAAACUAGGGCGAAACAGCUGUCCAGCAC